CCUACGGGUGGCAGCAGUGAGGAAUAUUGGUCAAUGGCCGUAAGGCUGAACCAGCCAAGUCGCGUGAAGGAAGAAGGACCUAUGGUUUGUAAACUUCUUUUAUAGGGGAAUAAAGGUAUCCAUGUGUGGUUAUUUGCAUGUACCCUAUGAAUAAGCAUCGGCUAACUCCGUGCCAGCAGCCGCGGUAAUACGGAGGAUGCGAGCGUUAUCCGGAUUUAUUGGGUUUAAAGGGUGCGUAGGUUGUUUUUUAAGUCAGUGGUGAAAGUUUGUGGCUCAACCAUAAAAUUGCCGUUGAUACUGGAAGACUUGAGUGUAGUUGAGGUAGGCGGAAUGCGUGGUGUAGCGGUGAAAUGCAUAGAUAUCACACAGAACUCCGAUUGCGAAGGCAGCUUACUGGGCCGUAACUGACGCUGAAGCACGAAAGCGUGGGUAUCAAAAAGGAUUAGAUACCCGAGUAGUC
rnacentral:rRNA from 1 species